rnacentral:rRNA from 1 species
GAUGAACGCUGGCGGCGUGCCUAAUACAUGCAAGUCGAGCGAACAGAUAAGGAGCUUGCUCCUUUGACGUUAGCGGCGGACGGGUGAGUAACACGUGGGUAACCUACCUAUAAGACUGGGAUAACUUCGGGAAACCGGAGCUAAUACCGGAUAACAUUUGGAACCGCGUGGUUCUAAAGUGAAAGAUGGUUUUGUUAUCACUUAUAGAUGGACCCGCGCCGUAUUAGCUAGUUGGUAAGGUAACGGCUUACCAAGGCGACGAUACGUAGCCGACCUGAGAGGGUGAUCGGCCACACUGGAACUGAGACACGGUCCAGACUCCUACGGGAGGCAGCAGUAGGGAAUCUUCCGCAAUGGGCGAAAGCCUGACGGAGCAACGCCGCGUGAGUGAUGAAGGGUUUCGGCUCGUAAAACUCUGUUAUUAGGGAAGAACAAACGUGUAAGUAACUGUGCACGUCUUGACGGUACCUAAUCAGAAAGCCACGGCUAACUACGUG